rnacentral:rRNA from 1 species
GAUGAACGCUGGCGGCGUGCCUAAUACAUGCAAGUCGAGCGAACAGACGAGGAGCUUGCUCCUCUGACGUUAGCGGCGGACGGGUGAGUAACACGUGGAUAACCUACCUAUAAGACUGGGAUAACUUCGGGAAACCGGAGCUAAUACCGGAUAAUAUAUUGAACCGCAUGGUUCAAUAGUGAAAGACGGUUUUGCUGUCACUUAUAGAUGUAUCCGCGCCGCAUUAGCUAGUUGGUAAGGUAACGGCUUACCAAGGCAACGAUGCGUAGCCGACCUGAGAGGGUGAUCGGCCACACGGGAACUGAGACACGGUCCAGACUCCUACGGGAGGCAGCAGUAGGGAAUCUUCCGCAAUGGGCGAAAGCCUGACGGAGCAACGCCGCGUGAGUGAUGAAGGUCUUCGGAUCGUAAAACUCUGUUAUUAGGGAAGAACAAAUGUGUAAGUAACUAUGCACGUCUUGACGGUACCUAAUCAGAAAGCCACGGCUAACUACGUG